rnacentral:tRNA from 1 species
UUUCUUAAGGUGGUUAUACACAUUUAAUUGUAAAUUAAAAGAAACCAAAAAUGGUUAAGAAUA